CAGUAGCCGCGGUAAUACAGAGGGUGCGAGCGUUAAUCGGAUUUACUGGGCGUAAAGCGUGCGUAGGCGGCUAAUUGAGUCGGAUGUGAAAUCCCCGAGCUUAACUUGGGAAUUGCAUUCGAUACUGGUUAGCUAGAGUAUGGGAGAGGAUGGUAGAAUUCCAGGUGUAGCGGUGAAAUGCGUAGAGAUCUGGAGGAAUACCGAUGGCGAAGGCAGCCAUCUGGCCUAAUACUGACGCUGAGGUACGAAAGCAUGGGGAGCAAACAGGAUUAGAUACCCCAGUAGUCCCUGUCUCUUAUAC
rnacentral:rRNA from 1 species